rnacentral:ncRNA from 2 species
GGUCUCUUGUUAGCGCCAGGACCGUAAUUGGUCGACGAGGAUGACAGUUAUCGAAAGACUCGGCGGAUGCUGUCACGGAAUUGUGAAUCGAAAGAGAAAAAAGAAAAAGCGGAAUCAAAACCGUAACAGAAAUUUUCUCACUCACUGAC